GAUGAACGCUGGCGGCGUGCCUAAUACAUGCAAGUCGAGCGAACAGAUGAGGAGCUUGCUCCUCUGACGUUAGCGGCGGACGGGUGAGUAACACGUGGAUAACCUACCUAUAAGACUGGGAUAACUUCGGGAAACCGGAUCUAAUACCGGAUAAUAUAUUGAACCGCAUGGUUCAAUAGUGAAAGACGGCUUUGCUGUCACUUAUAGCUGGAUCCGCGCCGCAUUAGCUAGUUGGUAAGGUAACGGCUUACCAAGGCAACGAUGCGUAGCCGACCUGAGAGGGUGAUCGGCCACACUGGAACUGAGACACGGUCCAGACUCCUACGGGAGGCAGCAGUAGGGAAUCUUCCGCAAUGGGCGAAAGCCUGACGGAGCAACGCCGCGUGAGUGAUGAAGGUCUUCGGAUCGUAAAACUCUGUUAUUAGGGAAGAACAAAUGUGUAAGUAACUAUGCACGUCUUGACGGUACCUAAUCAGAAAGCCACGGCUAACUACGUG
rnacentral:rRNA from 1 species